UGAAAAUGAUUCUAGAAACCAAAUCUACUCAAUACCUUCAUUUUGCUCAAACGUUAGUUUGAGGAAAGAAAUGAUUUGUAGAAAAACACCCGGACAUAAUGCAAAGGACAAGAAAUGCCCUGAUGGAGAAUGGGAUAUGCUGCGGUUUGAGCAACAGGUGAAUUGAAUCCAGGGGAAGCGUGAGAAGAUGGGAAACUAGAGAUAAUGAUGCUAUGAAAUGAAGGUCUGGGUUCCUGCUCUCAAGGAAUUUGAAGGGGGAGACGGAGGCACAAUGGAGACCAGAGGAAAACAGACCUUGUGGAUGGGGACACAGGAAGCAACUCUUCAUUCUUUCGGAGGAGAGGGGGAUCUGCAUGGCUGGUGAUGAUGAGGGAGACGGAGCCCAGGAGAAGGAUCUUAAGGGAAAAUAUUGACAACAUUGGUUUUAGAUGUUUCAUAAGAGUUGACAAUCAUUGUCAUGAAGUCGGAAGAGCCAUCUGAACUGGAGGAGCAUUGAUUCUACCAGAGAAAUUAACCACCGUGAACAUGUCAUGGAUUAGUGAAUAAAACCACUCCAAUUCUUG